GACGAACGCUGGCGGCGUGCUUAAUACAUGCAAGUCGAGCGAGGUCCAUCUGGUGGCAACACCAGUGAAGGCCGAGCGGCGAACGGGUGAGUAACACGUGAGCAACCUGCCCCGAAGUCUGGAAUAACAUCGGGAAACCGGUGCUAAUACCGGAUCGCCCCACCUGACCGCAUGAUCGGGUGAGGAAAGAUUUAUCGCUUCGGGAGGGGCUCGCGGCCUAUCAGCAGUUGGUGGGGUAACGGCCUACCAAGGCGUCGACGGGUAGCUGGUCUGAGAGGACGACCAGCCACACUGGGACUGAGACACGGCCCAGACUCCUACGGGAGGCAGCAGUAGGGAAUCUUGCGCAAUGGGCGAAAGCCU
rnacentral:rRNA from 1 species